AUUGAACGCUGGCGGCAGGCCUAACACAUGCAAGUCGAGCGAGCGGCGGACGGGUGCGUAAUGUAUGGGGACUGCCCGAUAGAUGGGGAUCACUACUGGAAAAGGUAGCUAAUACCGCAUACUAUCGGAUAACCCAUAGGGGAUUAGCUAGUAGGUGAGGUAAUGGCUCACCUAGGCGACGAUCCCUAGCUGGUCUGAGAGGAUGAUCAGCCACACUGGGACUGAGACACGGCCCAGACUCCUACGGAGGCAGCAGUGGGGAAUAUUGGACAAUGGGCGCAAGCCUGAUCCAGCCAUGCCGCGUGUAUGAAGAAGGCCUUAGGGUUGUAAAGUACUGUCAUUCGGGAGGCGUUACCGACACAAUAAGCACCGGCUAACUCCGUGCCAGCAGCCGCGGUAAUUC
rnacentral:rRNA from 1 species